AUGACAAAGAUUGACAAGGCUCUUUUUACCGAGGAAUGGGAGGCUAAAUUUCCUGACUUCCAAAUGCUUGCUGGGUCUACCAAAAUAUCUGACCACUGCCCUCUAAUUCUCAAAAAACUCAAUAACAAGAGAUUCUCUGGUUUUAGAUUCGAAGCUUGGUGGGCAAUGCAAAUAGGGUUCAGAGAAACCGUUGAACAUUUUUGGAAGAAACCUUUCUCCUGCUCCGAUCACAUUCGCAGGCUACACAUCAAGCUCACCAGGACGGCAAAAGGCCUCAGAAAAUGGAGCAAGCAAAUUCUUAAAGAAAGAAAAUUGGCUGCUGAUAUUGCAUCCGAAGUGAUCUUCCAGUUGGACGUCGCACAAGAAUCGCGGCCACUUUCUGUUGAGGAACUAAAGCUGCAUGUUUUUUUUCAAGUCCAGAUUACUUGCACUAGCUGCCAUUGA
rnacentral:rRNA from 1 species